AGAGUUUGAUCAUGGCUCAGAUUGAACGCUGGCGGCAUGCCUUACACAUGCAAGUCGAACGGCAGCGCGGGAGCAAUCCUGGCGGCGAGUGGCGAACGGGUGAGUAAUACAUCGGAACGUGCCCAAUCGUGGGGGAUAACGCAGCGAAAGCUGUGCUAAUACCGCAUAAGAUCUACGGAUGAAAGCAGGGGGAUCGCAAGACCUUGCGCGAAUGGAGCGGCCGAUGGCAGAUUAGGUAGUUGGUGAGGUAAAGGCUCACCAAGCCUUCGAUCUGUAGCUGGUCUGAGAGGACGACCAGCCACACUGGGACUGAGACACGGCCCAGACUCCUACGGGAGGCAGCAGUGGGGAAUUUUUGGACAAUGGGCGAAAGCCUGAUCCAGCCAUGCCGCGUGCAGGAUGAAGGCCUUCGGGUUGUAAACUGCUUUUGUACGGAACGAAAAGUCUCUUUCUAAUAAAGAGGGAUCAUGACGGUACCGUAAGAAUAAGCACCGGCUAACUACGUGCCAGCAGCCGCGGCAAUACGUAGGGUGCAAGCGUUAAUCGGAAUUACUGGGCGUAAAGCGUGCGCAGGCGGUUAUAUAAGACAGUUGUGAAAUCCCCGGGCUCAACCUGGGAACUGCAUCUGUGACUGUAUAGCUAGAGUACGGUAGAGGGGGAUGGAAUUCCGCGUGUAGCAGUGAAAUGCGUAGAUAUGCGGAGGAACACCGAUGGCGAAGGCAAUCCCCUGGACCUGUACUGACGCUCAUGCACGAAAGCGUGGGGAGCAAACAGGAUUAGAUACCCCUGGUAGUCCACGCCCUAAACGGUGUCAACUGGUUGUUGGGUCUUCACUGACUCAGUAACGAAGCUAACGCGUGAAGUUGACCGCCUGGGGAGUACGGCCGCCAAGGUUGAAACUCAAAUGAAUUGACGG
rnacentral:rRNA from 1 species